AUGCUUGCUUCAGCAGCACAUACACUAAAAUUGAAACAACACAGAGAAGACUAGCAUGGUCCCUGAGCAAAGAAGACAUGCAAAUUUGCGAAGCAUUCCAUGAUUUU
rnacentral:snRNA from 1 species